rfam:Hordeum vulgare subsp. vulgare, WGS project CAJW01000000 data, contig: morex_contig_2548713
AAAGUACUACCUCCGUCCGGAAAUACNNNNNNUAGAGAUGAAUGUAUCUAGACUUAUUUUAAUUAUACAUACAUCCAUCAUAUACAUUUUUAGGACAAGUAUUUCCGGACGGAGGGAGUAGAUA